GGGGCGACGUGGGCGCCGUUGGAGGCGCCGGGAGUGCCAGGGGCGCUACCGGCAGCAGCCUGGGACGGUGUGUCUGCAGGGGCAGCAGCGCCGGGGGCAGCAUCAGCGACGGUCGGGGUACCUGCAGCAGCGACACUAGGCCCAAUGGGCAAAGUGACAGUGUCCUCAUCGCUCAAAAAGGUUAGAGUGGUAGGAUCAAUAGGAGAUGUAGACAUGUUGGCGAAUGGAAAGGAG
rnacentral:lncRNA from 1 species